AGAGUUUGAUCCUGGCUCAGGACGAACGCUGGCGGUGUGCUUCACACAUGCAAGUCGAGCGAAUGAAGAAGGUAGCUUGCUACUUUUGGAUUUAGCGGCGGACGGGUGAGUAAUAUAUAGGAAUCUGCCCUAGAGCGGGGAACAACAGACCGAAAGGUUUGCUAAUGCCCCAUAGGUACGCAGUCUUCGGAUUGUUUAUUAAAGGAGUAAUCCACUCUAGGAUGAGCCUGUAUCCGAUUAGCUAGUUGGCGGGGUAAAGGCCCACCAAGGCUACGAUCGGUAGUUGGUCUGAGAGGAUGAUCAGCCACAAUGGAACUGAGACACGGCCCAUACUCCUACGGGAGGCAGCAGUGGGGAAUUUUACACAAUGGGGGAAACCCUGAUGUAGCGACACCGCGUGAACGAAGAAGCCUUUUGGGGUGUAAAGUUCUGUCGGCUGGAACGAAAAAAAUGACGGUACCAGCAAAGGAAGCAUCGGCUAACUACGUGCCAGCAGCCGCGGUAAGACGUAGGAUGCAAGCGUUGUCCGGAUUUAUUGGGCGUAAAGAGUUCGUAGGCGGUUAUUUAAGUCUGGUGUUAAAUACUGUGGCCCAACCACAGAACUGCAUUGGAUACUGGAUGACUUGAGUGCGGUAGAGGCGAGUGGAAUUCCCAGUGUAGCGGUGAAAUGCGUAGA
rnacentral:rRNA from 1 species